rnacentral:rRNA from 1 species
CUACGGGUCGCUCCAGUAGGGAAUCUUAGACAAUGGGGGAAACCCUGAUCUAGCCAUGCCGCGUGAGUGAUGAAGGCCUUAGGGUUGUAAAGCUCUUUCGCUGGGGAAGAUAAUGACGGUACCCAGUAAAGAAACCCCGGCUAACUCCGUGCCAGCAGCCGCGGUAAUACGGAGGGGGUUAGCGUUGUUCGGAAUUACUGGGCGUAAAGCGCGCGUAGGCGGGCUAUUAAGUCAGGGGUGAAAUCCCGGGGCUCAACCCCGGAACUGCCUUUGAUACUGGUAGUCUUGAGUUCGAGAGAGGUAGGUGGAAUUCCGGGUGUAGAGGUGAAAUUCGUAGAUAUUCGGAGGAACAUCAGUGGCGAAGGCGACUCACUGGCUCGAUACUGACGCUGAGGUGCGAAAGUGUGGGGAGCAAACAGGAUUAGAUACCCCGGUAGUC